rnacentral:lncRNA from 1 species
UAAUUUGGUAUAUUAACAAAAUUUAAGUUAAUGAAGUACACACUUUUUUAAAAAUGUAAAUUGAUGUUCAGUCUGUGAAAUUUACCAUAUUUUGUAAGGUAAUGUUCUGGUGACCACAGCUGCUGAAUAUGACCUGAACUUAAGAGAUGCUGAACAGAUGGAAUAUUAACACAAGCAUGAGAAUGUAAGUGUUAUAACAGGAAUGUGAAUGUUGUGUGUAGCUAAGAGCUGGGAGAGAGAUGGCUGUCUGAAAGCAGGUGUCACUGUUCUGAGGACUGCAUGAGUGCCGGAGACAACAGCAUCUGUGAGGUGGCAGAGAGUGAGACACGUGUUGUUCUGGCGUACGUGGGUUCUGCAAUCUGAUAUUGAAUACUGUAUCCUGCAUCAUCAACACGGAUUCAUCAUGGCCUACAGCACACGCACGCACACACAUACAUGCCAGUCUGGAGCUCCUU